GAGUGAACGCUGGCGGUAGGCCUACCACAUGCAAGUCGAACGGCAGCCCAGUAAGAGCUUGCUCUUACGGGUGGCGAGUGGCGGACGGGUGAGGAAUACAUCGGAAUCUACUUUUUCGUGGGGGAUAACGUAGGGAAACUUACGCUAAUACCGCAUACGACCUACGGGUGAAAGCAGGGGAUCUUCGGACCUUGCGCGAUUGAAUGAGCCGAUGUCGGAUUAGCUAGUUGGCGGGGUAAAGGCCCACCAAGGCGACGAUCCGUAGCUGGUCUGAGAGGAUGAUCAGCCACACUGGAACUGAGACACGGUCCAGACUCCUACGGGAGGCAGCAGUGGGGAAUAUUGGACAAUGGGCGCAAGCCUGAUCCAGCCAUACCGCGUGGGUGAAGAAGGCCUUCGGGUUGUAAAGCCCUUUUGUUGGGAAAGAAAAGCAGCAGGUUAAUACCCCGCUGUUCUGACGGUACCCAAAGAAUAAGCACCGGCUAACUUCGUG
rnacentral:rRNA from 1 species